AAGCUGCCAUUUACCAGACGUCUUCCUCUAUGGCCUGUUCUCCACUAGACUUCUCAAACUUUCUCAGGAUAUACUUCUCAGAAUACUUCCACACUUCCACUGUAUUUCUAAAAUCUCCCAUUUCCCAUUUCUAAAUUCUUUCUGUUUGGCUCACUGCCUAGGGACUCUGGUUCCACUCUGAUGCUGGAUUUCUACUGGCCGGGCUCACCAGUGGUUUCCCAAUCACUACACUCUCUUGUCUGAGCUCUCUGUUCUUCCGUAAACACCAACUUGAGGUUCCGGUCUAGUAGAAGGCUUCUUUGUUAGGGGAAUCAACCUGACCCAGGACUAAUCAUCAAUCUUCAUCAGGCUCAGGGAGGGAAUGAGAAAGACCUGAAACAGGACAGCCAAUUCCUUGUCAGAAGUCCAGAAAGCUGGUGAUGACGUAACUGAACAAGAGGGCCGAGUUCCAGCCCCAGCAAGCAGCAGAACUUGGCAACUUCGGCCAUGUGAUUCUGGCUUUAGCAUCAAGGGCAGAAGAGGAGGGUUAUGGAAUGUCCCUCUGUGAUUAAGGAAAGUCGCUGAAGCAGGCAUGUGGCAGGGUUGUUCCUGCAUGGAGGCCCAGAGAGGCCACUGUGCGGAGCUGUGAAGGUGAAGCCUUGGAGACCUGGUUUGCCGUGGAGACCACACAAGGUUAGAGAUCCCAGAGCCAUGUCAUACCUGCAGAGGAAAGCUGCUGACAGGGAAGUGUGUUGCAGCCAACAAAGCUGAAAGGAGUUGGAGGUCGGAAGAACGUUUUGAAAUCAGACAUGGAGAUGCAGAGUUUGCAGUUUGCCCAGCUGAUCUUCAGUCUUGCAUUGGUCCACUAUUUCCUCCCUGUGCUCCUUUUGCUCCCUUAUGGAGGGGUAAUGUGUAUCCUGUGCCAUGAUAUGUUGGAAGUAAGUGAUCUGCUUUUCAUUUUGAUUUUACAAGGGGUUAUAUUUAGGAGAUGGUAUGAAUCUCAAAGAGACCUUGAACUUUUAAACAAGUUUGAGACUGUUAUAGACUAUGGGGACUUUUGAAAUUGGACUGAAUGCAUUUUUUCAUUAUGUUAGAGCUAUAAGCCUAUGGAGGGAGUAGAAUGGGGUGGUUUGAAUAGGAAUGGCCCCUAUCCAUAGCCUCCAGUGUUUGAAUGCUUGGCUUAUAGAGAGUGGCACUAUUAGGAAGUGUGGCCUUGUUGGAGUAAGUGUGUACUUUGGAGGCGGGCUUUGAGGUCUCAUAUAUGUCUGGGCAGUGUGACACAGAGUCUCUCCUUUCUGCCUUUGUGUCAAGAUAUAGAACUCUUGGCUCCUCCAGCACCAGGUCUGCCUGCUUGCUACCAUGUUUCCCACCAUGAUAACACACUAAACCUCUGAAACUGUAAGCCAGACCCAGUUAAAUGUUUCCCCUUGUAAGAGUUGCUGUGGUCUCUUCACAGUCAUGAAACCCUAAGAAAUAUACAUACCUACAUACGCACACAUACAUACACACACAUACAUACAUACAUCUAGAUAUGCUGUGUGAUGAGUGACAAUAUCUAAGAGUUAGUGUUAAUAAACUGAGCUCAGUGGCUGGAGAGAAGGCUUGGUGGUUUUAGAGGACCUGAGGUUGGUUCCCAGCAUCUUCUGGGAGACACACGGUGUCUGUAAUGCCAACACUAGGGAAUCCAAGACCCUGUUGUAGCCUCUGCAGCCACCUGCAUUCUGUGCAUGGUCCAACAUGCAGAUGCAUAAUAAAAAUCCUAGAAGAUUGAUAUUGCAAUAUAUGAACACACAUCCGCCUCAGACGAAUUAUGAACGGAGCAGAAAGUGCGUGGCAAACUGUUGCUGUUGAAACUGCUGUGCCUUGUGAUUUAACACUCAAUGCAGCUUGACAUUGUGCGUCGACACAAACACGUUUGUCUGUGUUUAUGACAGAGUGCGUUCACGGAGACUUAGUUUAUCAAGUCUUUCAUUUGAGAGCAAAUUAAAAAUUCUUGUCCUAAGCUGGAUAUAGUUACUGAAUUAACUAAUAGCAAUGAGGUCUUUGCUUUGGCAAGAGGGUCCUAGUGUUAAAAGCAGCCUAAGAUGAAGGAAUAGUGAUCUCCAACAGUCUCUAGGAGAAUCUUAGAAAGGAGGCAGGCACCCGGCUUGGAACAUAACAGGCAAAAAAUUAGUUUUUGUUUGUGUUUUUAUUUUAUUUUUCAUUUUCUUUAGCUGGGUAUGGUGGCGCAUGCCAUUAAUCCCAGGACUCAGUAGAUGAGGCAGGUGGAUCUCUGAGGGCGAGGCUAGCCUGCUUUAUAAAGUUCAGGAUAGCCAGGGCUACACUAAGAAACUGUGUCUUAAAACAAACAAACGAAAACCCCAAACUGAGGCAAAACAAAAUAUGCUCCUCCGUCAACCAUAUAGUAGGGAGAAUUCCCAGAGACUGAGGAAGGGGGAGGGAAUUGUUGAGGAAUGGGAGGAGGGAGGGGAAUAUUAGGAUCACUUCUGUACUUGCUCUCUAUGAGUUCUUAUUGGCUCCACUGACUUGUGUUUUUAGGGGUCUGGCUUUAAGAGACACAUUUGACCAGCCAGACUUUAUGCAGUAACUGGGUAAGCCAAGGAAGGCUGGAAUGGCUAGGGCAGUCAUAAGUUUUUGAGAGCCAUCUGGGACUGGAAAAUGGGGAAAUAAACCACUAGGGGGCAGUUCUGGCCUUGUUGAGAGGGAUCAUCUAAUAGAUCUCUGGAACUGAGAUUUUGAACUGGAGGGAGCAAGUGCCCAGGAUCCUCUAAGAGGAAUUUAACACGGACGAGAUCACUGAUGAGAGAUACUAAGAGACACAUUGAGGGCCUGUGGGAUGGCUCUGUAAGAGUGCUUGGUGUGUAAGCAUGAGGACCAGAGUUCAAAUCCCCAGUAGCCAUGUAAAAAGACAUACAUGGCUUUGCCUGUUUGAGGUCACAACAUUUCUUUUUUUUUUUUUUUUUUUUUUUUUUUUUGGUUCUUUUUUUCGGAGCUGGGGACCGAAAGGUCCCAACAUUUCUGGACAGAGACAAGUGUAUCCUUGGAACUUGCUGGCUAACUCACGUAGACAAAAUGGCAAGCUUCCAGUUCACAAGAUAAGCAAACAGACAGCAAUAGAGAAAAACACUUGAUGUCUUUCUUGGGACACUUUUACACACAUGUGCAUAUAUGUGCGCGUGCGCGUGCGCGCACACACACACACACACACACACACACACACACACCACAUACACCACACACAAAAGAGAAACACUGAGCCAAGGAGAUUAAAAUCAUUUAGAGAGACAAAGAUUUAUUCUUUAAAAAGUGUUCACUAAGUCUUUAAAUAAUAUCUCAACUUGCAAUAGCUGGUCACUUUCUCAUCUUAGGACAUGGGAUACAAUCAAACCUAAUUUAGAGAUGCUUUUGUAUGCAAGGAUCAACUCCAGCAGUUUUAAAAGGGAAGCCAACUUUACCAUGGCAGCAGCUGUAACCACAGCCGUGGUCAUGUAGCAUCAGUUUAGUUCUUUGAAGAAACUCCUAGUGAUUAUUUAAAAGAGGCCUCAAGAAAAAUAUUUUAGGAAAAUUGUAGAUUACAUUAAAAGAGUCUUAGAAAAUUAUUUACAACUUUGUGAUGGCAUAAACACCUCAAGCAAAAUAAAUCUGGAUCUUGUACAAAAAUACUCUAAAGUAUAAAUAUGAAACACUGAAUAAAACAGUCCCCAUAUUUAUUGGACACUACUAGCAAAACUAUAUUCCAGUUGUUCAGAUGGAAAUUACAUCCACAGAAUAACGUGUCACUAAUCAUUUAAGUUUUAAAUAUUUCCACAUGAAUCAUGGAGUUCUGAGUUUCACUGCCUUAGAAGCUGUCAUUUUUUUUUUUUUAUAAAUACAGAAG